rnacentral:rRNA from 1 species
CUACGGGAGGCACCAGUGAGGAAUAUUGCACAAUGGGGGGAACCCUGAUGCAGCAACGCCGCGUGGAGGAUGACGCAUUUCGGUGUGUAAACUCCUUUUAUAUGUCAAGAAAAUGACGGUAGCAUAUGAAUAAGCACCGGCUAACUCCGUGCCAGCAGCCGCGGUAAUACGGAGGGUGCAAGCGUUACUCGGAAUCACUGGGCGUAAAGGACGCGUAGGCGGGUUGGAAAGUCAGGUGUGAAAUCCUACAGCUUAACUGUAGAACUGCACUUGGAACUUCUAAUCUAGAGUAUGGGAGGGGGAGAUGGAAUUAGUGGUGUAGGGGUAAAAUCCGUAGAUAUCACUAGGAAUACCUAAAGCGAAGGCGAUCCCCUGGAACAUUACUGACGCUAAGGCGUGAAAGCGUGGGGAGCAAACAGGAUUAGAUACCCCGGUAGUC